GGCCGGGUGUGUAAGCGCAGCGAUGCGUUGAGCUAACCGGUACUAAUGAACCGUGAGGCUUAACCUUACAACGCCGAAG
rnacentral:rRNA from 13 species